CAGGCCUUUAGCUUAGCGUUCUAAAGCACCAAGCUCAUAACUUGUGAGAUCAUGGGUUAGAAUCCCAUAAGGCCU
rnacentral:tRNA from 1 species